CUACGGGUCGCUGCAGUGGGGAAUAUUGCGCAAUGGGCGAAAGCCUGACGCAGCGACGCCGCGUGGAGGAUGAAGGUCUUCGGAUUGUAAACUCCUGUCAGAUGGGAAGAAAGGCUUAUGUUUAAUAGAUAUAGGAUAUGACGGUACCAUCAGAGGAAGCACCGGCUAACUUCGUGCCAGCAGCCGCGGUAAUACGAAGGGUGCGAGCGUUAUUCGGAAUCACUGGGCGUAAAGGGUGCGUAGACGGUAUGUUAAGUUCGUUGUUAAAGGCUCCGGCCUAACCGGAGUAUUGCAAUGAAAACUGGCAGGCUAGAGGGUGAGAGAGAGAAGUGGAAUUCCCGGAGUAGCGGUAAAAUGCGUGGAUCUCGGGAGGAACACCAAUGGCGAAGGCAGCUUCUUGGCUCAUUCCUGACGUUGAGGCACGAAAGCGUGGGGAGCAAACAGGAUUAGAUACCCGCGUAGUC
rnacentral:rRNA from 1 species